CGAACGCUGGCGGCGUGCUUAACACAUGCAAGUCGAACGGAAAGGCCCUGCUUUUGUGGGGUGCUCGAGUGGCGAACGGGUGAGUAACACGUGAGUAACCUGCCCUUGACUUUGGGAUAACUUCAGGAAACUGGGGCUAAUACCGGAUAGGAGCUCCUGCUGCAUGGUGGGGGUUGGAAAGUUUCGGCGGUUGGGGAUGGACUCGCGGCUUAUCAGCUUGUUGGUGGGGUAGUGGCUUACCAAGGCUUUGACGGGUAGCCGGCCUGAGAGGGUGACCGGCCACAUUGGGACUGAGAUACGGCCCAGACUCCUACGGGAGGCAACAGUGGGGGAUAUUGCACAAUGGGCGGAAGCCUGAUGCAGCAACGCCGCGUGCGGGAUGACGGCCUUCGGGUUGUAAACCGCUUUCGCCUGUGACGAAGCGUGAGUGACGGUAAUGGGUAAAGAAGCACCGGCUAACUACGU
rnacentral:rRNA from 1 species